rnacentral:rRNA from 1 species
AUCAGCAGCCAUAUCACCCUGUAGCCCAAGACUGGUUGCCCACUGAAGCUAAGCAGGGCUGAGCCUGGUCAGUACCUGGAUGGAAGACCUCCUGAGAAAACUAGGUUGCUGCUGGAA